rnacentral:rRNA from 1 species
UACGUAGGGGGCAAGCGUUGUCCGGAAUCAUUGGGCGUAAAGCGCGUGUAGGCGGUCCGGUAAGUCGGUUGUGAAAGUCCAGGGCUCAACCCUCGAAUGCCGGUGGAUACUGUCGGGCUAGAGUGCGGAAGAGGCGAGUGGAAUUCCUGGUGUAGCGGUGAAAUGCGCAGAUAUCAGGAGGAACACCAAUUGCGAAGGCAGCUCGCUGGGACGUAACUGACGCUGAGACGCGAAAGCGUGGGGAGCAAACAGG